rnacentral:lncRNA from 1 species
CAUGCUCAUAAAAUUUUGGGUUAAUUACAUACAACUGUCUGUAAGCAUAUCAAAUCGCAAAUAUAUUAUAACAAAGUUCAAUUUUUCAUAUUUAUCCUUAUAAAAAUUCUAACAUUUUUAAAUAUACUCGCGCUGUUAAGAUCCGUUAGAAAAAUACAGUUAACUAUAAAUAAAACACUUAAUCCUAAUUAGUACAUGAGAUAAAUUGAUCUUUUUACCCUUCUUGUAUUAUUUGUGAUGGUAGAAAGGAAAAAGAUGGCAGUUAGAAAUUUUUGUGAGGAUAUUUUUGUAUAAUUCUAACAGUUGGGGCUUUUUGAAAUACAUAUUUAUUAUGACGAAAAUAUUAUUCACUUAUCUUCUGUUGAAAGUAAAUAGUAUUCUAACCGUAACAAAUUAAAGCAAUAAAUAUAAAUAUCAUUAAAUUUUUUGAGAAAUAAAUAUAAAAAGUUAAAUUUUGUGUAGGAAUAAAAUUGCUCUUCAAUAUGUUUACAGGGAGAUGUAUGAAAUAAAAUCUAAAAUUUUUUUCUUUUAAGAUUCUCC